rnacentral:rRNA from 1 species
AGCGAACAUUGGCGGUAGGCUUAACACAUGCAAGUCGAACGCAUCCUUCGGGGUGAGUGGCAGACGGGUGAGUAACGCGUGGGAACGUGCCCUUCAGUUCGGGAUAACCCAGGGAAACUUGGGCUAAUACCGGAUACGUGCGAGAGCAGAAAGAUUUAUCGCUGAAGGAUCGGCCCGCGUCUGAUUAGCUAGUUGGUGGGGUAAUGGCCCACCAAGGCGACGAUCAGUAGCUGGUCUGAGAGGAUGAUCAGCCACAUUGGGACUGAGACACGGCCCAAACUCCUACGGGAGGCAGCAGUGGGGAAUAUUGGACAAUGGGCGCAAGCCUGAUCCAGCCAUGCCGCGUGAGUGAUGAAGGCCUUAGGGUUGUAAAGCUCUUUCGUCCGGGACGAUAAUGACGGUACCGGAAGAAGAAGCCCCGGCUAACUUCGUGCCAGCAGCCGCAGUAA